rnacentral:lncRNA from 10 species
CCCGCGUCUUCAGAGGAGCGCUGUUUCUGGAGGAGUUAGGGGAAGGAGGCUGCCUGGUAAGCCAGGAAAGGGGCUUCUGGCCGUUCUGUUGGAGCGCCUCUGACUGACUUCCCCCAUGUGUCCGUGUGGCCACACCGUGCUACUUUCAGAGGCAGUGGGCUUUUCGCUAAGGGAUAAAAAGAAGUAAAACCUUGCCUUUAGCGCAGCUCUCCUUCACUGGGCAGAUUGCUCUCCCUCCCCACUCUCCCAGGCCCAAAUUGGAUCUCAGCGCCUGGGAGCUCCAACUUUAGCAAGUGCGAAAUCCUGUCUUCGGUUUUGGAAUUUUCAUCCGCACAGACUAUAUCAGCCACGGAUAGGAUAUGUGAGAAUACCAGCAUGUCAAGGCUGGGAAUCAUCCUUAGGCAUCACCUAGCCAGUCCUGCCUCUCAUUUUAAGAUGCAGAGUGUUCAUAUGAGGAGAGACUUUCCCUUGUCUCCGUCAUCUGUGAUUUCACUUCCCUGACAGAAGACGAAGCUUCCAUCUCAGAUGUUUUCUUAAAUGAUGAAACAGCAUACGCCUCUGUUCUUGUCAGCUCAGGGAAAACAGAUCUGGGGACCUCUUCAUCUCUGCGUUGGGAAGCAUAGGUGGUAUAAUCCCCUCCUGUCACGUCCAACGUUGCAUAGUCAGAAGCUUCGCCCUUGUAGUUGGUGCACACAGCACGGUGAUCACAGGAUCUGGUUUGCCACUGAAAGGAAUCUUGAUGCUGACCACUUCACCUCGGAGAGCAUGAACUGCUCCCAUGCCUUCAAGAGUUUUAGGAUGGCAUCAACUGUUCCAAAAACAUUGCUGAGCUGGACUUUGUAUUUCCCAGCAUGAGUCUUACGUUGGACAUUCUUCAUGACAAGAUGAGUAUAGUGCUCAGUGUUUUCAAUAGUAAUGUUUUCUGAGUUUUGCAAAAGUUUCUGACCAUGGAACCAAGUCAUGGCAGGUACUGGACGACCAAUGUACAUAACAUGAAGCCGAAGUGUGGAACCCACAGCUCCAUAAUAUUUCUCUUUCAGUGGGUAACCAGGAUGGAACUGCGGUGUUGCUUGCAGGAGAAGCUUACUACUGGUUUCUACUUCUCCAACCUCAUUGGUGGCUAUGCAGGCACUGUCUCCAGACUGUCUAUAUUCAACCCAGUAUCCAAGAAUUUCUUUACCACCAUCACAUUCAGGUUUCUCCCACUGUAGAGUGACACUAUCUUUGGAUAUUGAAAGAAUCUCAAGUUCUCCUGGUUGGCUUGGUUUAUCUGAAAUAUUUUAAAAUAAUGAAAAGGGAGUCAGCUUUACUGGUGAAAUAAAAGGACCAAACAUGGCUUGCUUCUUUAAUUUAACCCCUUCUUCUGAAUUCCUUACCAAAUGGAUCUUUGCAAACAACUGGUUCAGAAGCAGGGCUGGUCUCACUCAGGCCAACAUCAUUCUGUGCGAUGAUGCGGAACUGAUACUCAGCAUCGGGAACAAGCCCUGUGACAGUGUACAUUGUGGUGGUGAUCUGAGUCUUGUUGUGUCUGACCCACUUGUCAGUGGAUGUCUCUUUGC